UACGCAGGGAGCAAGCGUUGUCCGGAAUCAUUGGGCGUAAAGCGCGCGUAGGCGGCCCUGUAAGUCCGUUGUGAAAGUCAAAGGCCCAACCUUUGAAAGCCGAUGGAUACUGCAGGGCUAGAGUCCGGAAGAGGCGAGUGGAAUUCCUGGUGUAGCGGUGGAAUGCGCAGAUAUCAGGAGGAACACCUGUGGUGUAGACAGCUUACUGGACCAUUUCUGACGCUGAGACACGAAAGCGUGGGUAGCAAACAGG
rnacentral:rRNA from 1 species